ACCUGCUACAGUCUUCAGAAAACAAAUGUUGUCACAGUGUCAAGCCCCAUCCUCAUGAAUAGACAGUCAACUAACAGAUUUGCAGGCAACUACACCCUGACCACUGAAUGUGCAGAGCAACUCACACCAUCACCAUUGCAUUCUUUUUUUU